ensembl:snoRNA small nucleolar RNA SNORD88
GAUCUCUUGUGAUGUGUUGCACUGGGCUCAGAGAAUGCAUGUUGACAGAAGUGCCUCUCUGCCCCUGACAAGGCAGAGCCUGAGGAGAUU